UGACUACUCUAGGGCAAAAGGAAAAACUCUCCAAAAUAAGGGUUAAAUGGAAGUUGAUUAGAAUUCUACAUGUGAAAUUACCGAAUUGUGGAUUUCUUAUAUAAGAUGGAAACUUAAUCAUAAAAAUCUACUCUAUUCCAAAACACUCUUCACCCAGUGGCUGAGCACGUGCGCCGCGAUAGAAGAAUUGGAAAUCUCUGGAUGACGCAGAUGAAGCCGAGAAACGAGACCCCAGAGAGAGGGAAAGUGAAAAGCAAAUACUCGAACAUCAACAAAAGUCUAAUCAGACCCAGUGCAUUGGCCAAGAAAAACAACAGCCGCAGAUCCCAGUAACAAACGCGUCUCGUCUUUCGUCUUUCGGCGGUUUCGGCUUUUGUUUCGCCGUGGCUGUUUUGACUGACAAAUGAAAAUCUCAAUUGGCUAUCGCCAGACAAUCAAAAGCCAAAGAGACAAACAGCCAUGAGAAGUCGUCUGUCGACGGUUGCAAACUUUACACACAUUACGGCCCGGCCAAAAGAAAUGAAAUGAAAUGACAACCACUGCAGCGCCACAUACGAAAAUGUACUUUCACUCAUCGGUUUUUUUAGUUUUUUGGUCUUUUGAAAACGUCAUCGUGUCGCAGAUAAAAUAACAAACAAACCCCGGCCCCCAAAAAAAGAAAAACAGACAAAUGCAAAGAUCUCAGGCUGAUUGAUGUCAGCCAAAUCUCAUCAGCUGCGUUUUUCCCAGGCUCAAAGGAAAAGGGGUUUUCAUCUGGUCAGGGGUUGUCACUUCAAAGCAGAAUAAAUACGCUUUGUAGCACCUACACUCGCCGCACAUUCCCCACCGCGUGUUUAGAGCAAACUUGCCCAAUUAAAUGCAAAUUUUCUUGUUUUAGAAAUCGAAGCCAGGCACACAGGUACACAGAAAAAAAAAAAGCUGACUAA